CAUGAUCACAUACCAAUAACCUGGAAAAUGUUUUGAUCUAUGUCAUAUACAAGGGUCUUGAUAGGGGUUUACAAAAUACAGAAUAAAAGGAAAAAAAUUGAGAAUAACGACAAAAGAAAAGAAUAAUUGGCCAAAAGAUAUAAAGAAUAAAGCAAAUUAUGCCAAGAAAUGAAAAAAAGAGAAUAAUGAUUAAAAAACGCUGAAAGAAGGAAUACGGAAUUCAAACCCUCAAAUAUGAUAUAUAUUUCUUUACUUUUCAGGAGUAAUGAAAAUGUAAUGCUGGCAUUACAAGUGACGAAUGUCUGCUUAGGUGGUCGAUUGAACUUUAUUUAUCCCAUUAUAUAUAAAAUAUGAAUAUUUUUAAAAGGUUUCAUCAAGACAAACAUGUUGCCUCUCAAAUCUGUUUUAAGCAUUUAUAAAGAGGGGUCAAUUUUUUAACAUAUAAGAUAGGCGAUGUGGCAUUUCUUAUUAACGAAACAAAUAUCUGCAAGAGACCGAAGGCCAUUGGUGGUUAAUGUAAGCAGCUGUUUAUUAUAUCUAUCUCUGUAAUGUUAAUUUCUCGAUCAAAUUACAGAUAUUAUUUAUAAUUUUUACAGCAUGUAUUAGGGCAAAAUAUUGUGAUAUUGAUAUUAUUAUAUUAUUUAUUAUUUGUUAUCAUGUCCCAUUUAAUAUUGAAUAAAAAGAAACAUUUUUAUAU
rnacentral:lncRNA from 1 species